CAGGGUUCUUAAAUCUGUUUCUCUAUAAGAACACUCAUUUUUCACGCUUUCUGUCUUCUUUCUUCCAGGGCUCUCCCCUUGCCCUAGGCUCUGGCCGUUGCGCCCGGCGGGGUCAACUCCAUGAUUAGCAUGGAGCUGUAGGAGUCUAAAUUGGGGACACAGAUGUUUGGAACGUCACCUUGCAGUGUUAACUUGGCUUUCAUGAAUCUCUUUGAUCUUCCACAAGGGGUAGGCUACGGGUGAAACCUCUUAGGCUAAUACUUCUAUGAAGAGAUGCCUUGGAUAGGGUAACAGCGGCGGAUAUUGGUGAGUUGUUAAGACAAAAACCAUUCAACGCCGGAGGACUGACUCUCAUCCAGUGGAUGCAUUGAGUGGAUUGACUGUCAGGGCUGUCUUUAGGCUUAAUUCCAGACCUCUCUGUGCUUAGGGCAAACAUCAUUUGGCCUUAAAUGGGAUUCUGUGAGAGGGGAUCCCUCCAUUGACAGCUGGACUGUUCUUUGGGGCCUUAUGUGGUGUUUGCCUCUGAGGUACUCAGGGGCAUUUAGGUUUUUCCUCAUUCUUAAAUAAUAAUG
rfam:Hepatitis A virus (wild-type) RNA, complete genome.